rnacentral:rRNA from 1 species
GACGAACGCUGGCGGUGUGCUUAACACAUGCAAGUCGAACGGCAAGGCCCUGCUUUCGUGGGGUGCCCGAGUGGCGAACGGGUGAGUAACACGUGAGUAACCUGCCCUUGUUUUUGGGAUAACUUCAGGAAACUGGGGCUAAUAUCGGGUAGGAGCUCCCGCUGCAUGGUGGGGGUUGGAAAGUUUGGGCGGUUGGGGAUGGAUGCGCGGCUUAUCGGCUUGUUGGUGGGGUAGUGGCUUACCAAGGCUUUGACGGGUAGGCGGCCUGAGAGGGUGACCGGCCACAUUGGGACUGAGGUACGGCGCAGUCUGCUACAGGAGGCAGCAGUGGGGAAUAUUGCACAAUGGGCGGAAGCCUGAUACAGCGACGCCGCGUGCGUGAUGACGGCCUGCGGGGUGUAAACCGCUUUCGCCUGUGACGAAGCGUGAGUGACGGUAAUGGGUAAAGAAGCACCGGCUAACUACGUG